GAUGAACGCUAGCGGCAGGCCUAAUACAUGCAAGUCGAACGGUGUCUUCGGACAUAGUGGCGCACGGGUGCGUAACACGUAUGCAACCUACCUUACAUUGGGGGAUAGCCCUUCGAAAGGGAGAUUAAUACCGCAUAAGACAGUAGCUGGGCAUCCAGCAGCUGUUAAAGAUUUAUCGAUGUAAGCUGGGCAUGCGUCCAAUUAGCUAGUUGGUGAGGUAACGGCUCACCAAGGCAAUGAUUGGUAGGGGAACUGAGAGGUCAAUCCCCCACACUGGCACAGAGAUACGGGCCAGACUCCGACGGGAGGCAGCAGUAGGGAAUAUUGGGCAAUGGACGCAAGUCUGACCCAGCCAUGCCGCGUGCAGGAUGAAGGCGUUAUGCGUUGUAAACUGCUUUUAUACAGGAAGAAACGACUCUUGCGAGAGGCAUUGACGGUACUGUAUGAAUAAGCACCGGCUAACUCCGUGCCAGCAGCCGCAGUAACAC
rnacentral:rRNA from 1 species